rnacentral:SRP_RNA from 1 species
CGUGCUAGGUGGGGAGCCAGCGGUGCCCUGUAACCUGCAAUCCGCUAUAGCAGGACCAAUGCCGUGGUGCGGGAUCUGCUGUAUGGCGUCCCGAUGGUAAGCGGUGCUGAUCUUUCAGCCCAUCGCAAUAGGAUGUUGUUGAAUUCCGUCAGGCCCGGGAGGGAGCAGCGGUAGACAAAUUUUCUAUGUGCCGAUGGUCACCUGAGGAGGAGCUGGCUGCCU